GGACCCGUAGCUCAACGGUUAGAGCGUCCGGCUCAUAAUCGGCAGGUUCCUGGUUCGAAUCCAGGCGGGUCCACCA
rnacentral:tRNA from 1 species